rnacentral:misc_RNA from 1 species
GAGAGAGAGAGAGAGAGAGAGAGAGAGAGAGAGAGAGAGAGAGAGAGAGAGAGGUGUUUACAGAAGCAUCUGGCUCCACGACUCCGGCAUGUGGUGGUUCUCCUGGCCGCCGUCGUGCAGACUUGGAAGGCAGCCGCCCGCUGCUGCGCCGCGGUUGGCAAGAAGUUGGUGGCCCGGAGAGGUGGUAGUGGUACCGGUGUGCGGAAACGACUGCUGCUGGUCGUGGGAGAAGAGCAGCGACGGGGAAGACAAGGACGGCAGGUUGUUGGGGGAGAAGGCCUCUUGAUCCUCAUGGCACGAAUUGAAGUUGAAGGCGCUCAUGACGACGCUGCUGCUGCUGGCCGUGGCGGUAUCGGCGCUCCAGAUCACCUGCUGCUGCAAAGGCGAGGCCCGGAAUUGUCCUCUGUUCAUCGCCGCCGCGCGCACCGGCCGCUAGCUAGCUUGCUAGGUAGAGAGCUGGUGACGCAGCAAAUGCUGGUUCGUUAUCUCUUCCUCGCCAGUCUCUCUCUCUCUCUCUCUCUCUCUGUGUGUCUGUCUCC